CCUACGGGAGGCAGCAGUGGGGAAUCUUGCGCAAUGGGCGAAAGCCUGACGCAGCCAUGCCGCGUGAAUGAUGAAGGUCUUAGGAUUGUAAAAUUCUUUUCACCGGGGACGAUAAUGACGGUACCCGGAGAAGAAGCCCCGGCUAACUUCGUGCCAGCAGCCGCGGUAAUACGAAGGGGGGCUAGCGUUGCUCGGAAUUACUGGGCGUAAAGGGAGCGUAGGCGGAUAGUUUAGUCAGAGGUGAAAGCCCAGGGCUCAACCUUGGAAUUGCCUUUGAUACUGGCUAUCUUGAGUAUGGGAGAGGUUAGCGGAACUCCGAGUGUAGAGGUGAAAUUCGUAGAUAUUCGGAAGAACACCAGUGGCGAAGGCGGCUAACUGGCCCAUUACUGACGCUGAGGCUCGAAAGCGUGGGGAGCAAACAGGAUUAGAUACCCUGGUAGUCCACGCCGUAAACGAUGAGUGCUAGUUGUCGGCAUGCAUGCAUGUCGGUGACGCAGCUACGACAUUAAGACACUCCGCCGUCGGGAGGUACGGUCGCGAGAGUAAACUAACUAAGUAGUUAGUUAGUCGUUGUUGAGAGCGACGACGACGACGACGGAGGAGGAG
rnacentral:rRNA from 1 species